GCGGAAGAUGUAACGGGGCUAAACCAUGCACCGAAGCUGCGGCAGCGACACUAUGUGUUGUUGGGUAGGGGAGCGUUCUGUAAGCCGUCGAAGGUGUGCUGUGAGGCAUGCUGGAGGUAUCAGAAGUGCGAAUGCUGACAUGAGUAACGACAAUGCGAGUGAAAAACUCGCACGCCGAAAGACCAAGGUUUCCUGCGCAACGUUAAUCGACGCAGGGUUAGUCGGUCCCUAAGGCGAGGCUGAAAAGCGUAGUCGAUGGAAAACAGGUUAAUAUUCCUGUACUUCUGGUUAUUGCGAUGGAGGGACGGAGAAGGCUAGGCCAGCUUGGCGUUGGUUGUCCAAGUUUAAGGUGUUAGG
rnacentral:rRNA from 1 species